rnacentral:rRNA from 1 species
GAUUGUAGUCAUAUGCUUGUCUCAAAGACUAAGCCAUGCAUGUCUAAGUAUAAAUGUUAUACAGUGAAACUGCGAAUGGCUCAUUAAAACAGUUAUAGUUUAUUUGAUAAUCGAAUUUACAUGGAUAACCGUGGUAAUUCUAGAGCUAAUACAUGCUGGUUAGCCUGACUUUUAGGAAGGGCUGUAUUUAUUAGAUAACAAACCAAUAUUCCUUGUGUCUAUUGUGACGACUCAUAAUAACUGAUCGGAUCGCAUGGGCUUUGCCCGCGACAAAUCAUUCAAGUUUCUGCCCCAUCAGCUUUCGAUGGUAGUGUAUUGGACUACCAUGGCUUUAACGGGUAACGGAGGAUUAGGGUUCGAUUCCGGAGAGGGAGCCUGAGAAACGGCUACCAAU